UCCCCUCUCAUUUUUCUCAUGUUCAUUCACCAACGCAACUGUGUCCACGGGAGACGCUGGAGACGAUGCACGGCCGGGUCCUGCUGCGAAGCUUCCGUCGUCCGGGCACUCCGAUGCUGCCGGAGAAGGCACUCUCGUGCUCGCCUAUGCAAGCUGCGGGUUUUGCAAGGCAGGGGCUCACUGCUGCUAGCCAGCACGAGCUGCUCGAAGGGCUGGGACAACACUGGUGACACAGUGUGUCACAACUCACAACAGCCCCGGCCUUUUUUUGUAAGGUGACCAGAAACAUUGGUUGCUACAGCUUGAGGAGUGUAGCUGGUGCUCCAAGCCGACUACCUGCGGCUCUCCGGAGUUACUCACGCGACGCGGGGCCGUCGUCCUCCUGCUGAUUGGAUUUUGCUUCUUCCUUCUGUUCCCUUCCUCUGGUUGUUGAUGCCUCAAGCAGCCACUGCCGAUUGUGUGCUUAUCGGAUAUCCGUAAUUGUUCCUUCGUAGCCUCCCAUUGAGUUUAUUCCGUUUCUUCCUCUGCUUGUACGACCACGCCUUCCCACUCCAGCAGCCCGGCUUUCCUGCCUCCGACCGCGUCUGAAGAGGAGCUCUAGCUAUGCCACGAGCAGGCCAUCCCAGCAGCUGCCGCCACCCCUCUGUCCUCUCUCUCAGCUUUUUCCUUCUCCUUCUCUCUGUCACUAAUCUUUGUUUUCUAUAGGGAAGGAAGUCGCCAAGGAACGAUCCCCGCCGCCUUGGAGCUCGCCCCGCCUUCGGCCCACCACCUCUCCGUCGGCCUCGACCUCCUCCGCCUCGAUCCGUCCGCCCCGCCGCCGGAUCCACGCCGGAGCAGCCGUGUCCGCCGCCCAGACCACCAGUCAAGAGUCACCUCUUGCCUGUCCUGCGGUCGGGAGGAGGACGACCGAGAGGAGCACCCAUUCAUCCGCCGCAUUGGCCGCCUUGGAGCUCGCCUUGCCUUCGGAUCGCCACCUCUCCGUCGGCCUCGUGCUCCUCCGCCUCGAUCCAUCCGCCCCAUCGCCGGAUCCACCGCCCAGACCACCAACCAAGUGCCGCCUCUGGCCUGUCCUGCGACCUGGUCGAAUAAUAAAACUGCAGGGUCCUUUUUGUAAGAACGAAUCAUUUUUUCGGAGUAGCCACUUCAAAAUAGGACCGCGAGUUGAAUUUCAGAAAUAGAGGGACUUUUUUGUAAAAUUGUCGCGACGACGUACGACCAGAAACAGUACGUGCUUUAUUAGUAGGUAAAGAUAUAGGUAAAGAUUCAGUAGUCAGGAAACACCUAAAAUAUGUUCAACCUCCA